rnacentral:rRNA from 1 species
GGUCAAGCUACUAAGAGCGCACGGAGGAUACCUAGGCGUCAGCUGCCGAUGAAGGACGCAAUAAACUGCGAAAAGCCGCGGGGAGUCGUUAUGGACUAAGAUCCGCGGGUAUCCGAAUGGGGAAACCCCACUAGAUCAAUCUAGUGAUGUUUGACUGAAUUCAUAGGUCAAUCAAGGUAAGCUCGGGAACUGAAACAUCUUAGUACCGAGAGGAAAAGAAAACAAAACAGUGAUUCCGUCAGUAGCGGCGAGUGAACGCGGAACAGCCUAAACCAGUUACACGCAAGUGUAGCUGGGGUUGCGGGACUCAAUACGGGAUGGGAUGAGCUUAGUUGAAGUCACCUGGAAAGGUGCACCACAGACGGUGACAGUCCGGUAAGCGAAAAGCUCUGAACCCCAUGAGUAUCCCAAGUAGUACGGGGCACGUGAAACCUUGUACGAAUCUGCCGGGACCAUCCGGUAAGGCUAAAUACAGUCUGACGACCGAUAGUGAACAAGUACCGCGAGGGAAAGGUGAAAAGAACCCCGGGAGGGGAGUGAAAUAGAACAUGAAACCGUGUGCUUACAAGCAAUUGGAGCACUAUUAGAUAGUGUGACAGUGUGCCUGUUGAAGAAUGAGCCGGCGAGUUACCUUAUGUAGUUGGUUAAGUGGUUAAUACACGGAGCCAAAGGGAAACCGAGUCUGAAUAGGGCGUCAAUAAUUACAUGAGGUAGACCCGAACCCAGGUGAUCUAGGCAUGGCCAGGAUGAAGCGCGUGUAAAAAUGCGUAGAGGUCCGAACCGACCGGUGUUGAAAAACUGGCGGAUGAGCUGUGUUUAGGGGUGAAAUGCCAAUCGAACCCGGAGCUAGCUGGUUCUCCCCGAAAUGCGUUUAGGCACAGCGUCAGGCGUAUCUUACAGGGGGUAGAGCACUAGUUCGGUGCGGGCGGAGAAAAUCCGUACCAAAUCGAGUUAAACUCCGAAUACCUGUAACGUCAUUACCCGGCAGUGAGACUGCGAGAGAUAAGUUCCGUAGUCAAGAGGGAAACAGCCCAGACCACCGACUAAGGCCCCAAAGUACGUGUUAAGUGGCUAAGGAGGUGGAGUUGCAUAGACAACCAGGAGGUUUGCUUAGAAGCAGCCACCCUUGAAAGAGUGCGUAAUAGCUCACUGGUCAAGCGACUCUGCGCCGAAAAUAUCCGGGACUAAAACACGUCGCCGAAAUCGUGGACUUACAUUAUGUAAGUGGUAGGGGAGCGUUCUGUUUAGGCAGAAGCAUUACCGUGAGGAAGUGUGGACGAAACAGAAGUGAGACUGUCGGCUUAAGUAGCGAAAACAUUGGUGAGAAUCCAAUGCACCGAAAGACUAAGGGUUCCCACG